UACGAAGGGGGCUAGCGUUGCUCGGAAUCACUGGGCGUAAAGGGUGCGUAGGCGGGUCUUUUAAGUCAGGGGUGAAAUCCUGGAGCUCAACUCCAGAACUGCCUUUGAUACUGAGGAUCUUGAGUUCGGGAGAGGUGAGUGGAACUGCGAGUGUAGAGGUGAAAUUCGUAGAUAUUCGCAAGAACACCAGUGGCGAAGGCGGCUCACUGGCCCGAGUACUGACGCUGAGGCACGAAAGCGUGGGGAGCAAACAGGG
rnacentral:rRNA from 1 species